ensembl:snRNA U1 U1 spliceosomal RNA
AUAUUUACCUUGCAGGGGAGAUACCGUGACCAAGAAGGCGGUUCACCCAGGGCGAGGCUCAGUCAUUGCACUUCGACUGCUGAACCCUGCCAAUUCCCCAAAUGUGGGAAUCUCGACUGCAUAAUUUCUGGUAGUGGGGGACUGCGUUCGUGCUCUCCCCUG